CAGAGACAGUUUUUCUGUAGCUGUGUUCAGGGAGGAACCUCCAUCAUGUCAGAGUGAAUUCAACAAAGAUAAAGAACAUCAUCAGGUUGACUCUGGUGGUCUUGAUGCUGAUUCCUCUUCUUCUCCUGAGUCUGUGUACCAGGAAGAAGAAAACUCUGAGCUCCACCACUGAACCACAACAACCUGUC